AAAUGAAUGAAAAUGGAGCAAGGAUUAAUUAUGAACACAUGGCUUAUAUCAAUGCAGCAAGAUUAUUACUUAUUAUUGGCAGAUUUGGGAUUCUGAAGCAUGAAAAGUAGAUGAAAAUUUGAAGACCAUAGAUCCAAGAAAGUUCUGUGGAGUGGAAGGGGAAAAAAAGAAUCCUUAGACAAGUGAUGUAUUGUCAGGUUUGAAGCAAUUUGUUUUGUUUUGUGAGGUAGAAAUAGAGGACAAAUUACAUGAUUAUAUGCUGGAGAAGCAAUUAUCUUCUUCUUUUUCAGGUUCAGGGGAAUAGGCUUUGACAUGGUUAAUGAGAGCUGAAGCUUUGAUCUUCCAGGCAAGAGUAGUAACUUUCUACUAAUUUUGAUUUUCACAAUUUUUUAGUCUCUUGUUUUUAUGACAAGCUGGUCUAAACGGCAUGCCGUUCCUUGUACCAUCUAACCUUUCCUCUGCUGUGAAGUUAAAAACCCCAUCCAAAACCCCUUUCUUGCAAAGUACGGACAAUGCUUUUCUGCUUCAUUUCAAAAAAUGGCU
rnacentral:misc_RNA from 1 species